rnacentral:rRNA from 1 species
GCGCACGGGUGCGUAACGCGUAUGCAAUCUACCUUUUACAGAGGGAUAGCCCAGAGAAAUUUGGAUUAAUACCUCAUAGUAUUACGAAAUGGCAUCAUUUUGUAAUUAAAGUCACAACGGUAAAAGAUGAGCAUGCGUCCCAUUAGCUAGUUGGUAAGGUAACGGCUUACCAAGGCUACGAUGGGUAGGGGUCCUGAGAGGGAGAUCCCCCACACUGGUACUGAGACACGGACCAGACUCCUACGGGAGGCAGCAGUGAGGAAUAUUGGACAAUGGGCGCAAGCCUGAUCCAGCCAUGCCGCGUGCAGGAUGACGGUCCUAUGGAUUGUAAACUGCUUUUAUACGAGAAGAAACACUCCGACGUGUCGGAGCUUGACGGUAUCGUAAGAAUAAGGAUCGGCUAACUCCGUGCCAGCAGCCGCGGUAAUACGGAGGAUCCAAGCGUUAUCCGGAAUCAUUGGGUUUAAAGGGUCCGUAGGCGGUUUAAUAAGUCAGUGGUGAAAGCCCAUCGCUCAACGGUGGAACGGCCAUUGAUACUGUUAAACUUGAAUUAUUAGGAAGUAACUAGAAUAUGUAGUGUAGCGGUGAAAUGCUUAGAGAUUACAUGGAAUACCAAUUGCGAAGGCAGGUUACUACUAAUGGAUUGACGCUGAUGGACGAAAGCGUGGGUAGCGAACAGGAUUAGAUACCCUGGUAGUCCACGCCGUAAACGAUGGAUACUAGCUGUUGGAAGCAAUUUCAGUGGCUAAGCGAAAGUGAUAAGUAUCCCACCUGGGGAGUACGUUCGCAAGAAUGAAACUCAAAGGAAUUGACGGGGGCCCGCACAAGCGGUGGAGCAUG